UAUAAAUAAAAAAUGAAUGCACUGCAAUUCCAACAGCUUAUGUCUUCCAGACUGAGUUAUAACUGCCUGCUGGUUAGGCUCAUUAACAGUAAAAACAGUACCUGAUCGGCUUUGUUUUCAUCGUGGUAAGCUGCAGUUGGGGCCACACUUUCUAUCCCCAGAGGCUGCAUUUUGGGAACUCCUACUGUGUUGAAAAUGUAUGGAGACUGAAAUCUAUGUAUAUAAUCAGGCUGGAUGGUAAGAGAGCUCAGGAAGGAUAUUUGUGCCUUUCAAUGAUUAAAAAAAAGAUAUGGCAGCAUUUCUAAGAGAGGGGACUCAGAGGGAUUCCUUGAGGAAAUUAGACAUUGUUAAGAAAUGGCUCCGAGUAAAUAGACCGAAACCAAGACAGAGACAGUGAGUCUGAAAUGGAAAAUUGUGAACUGAGGGCAAGUUAUACCACCGAGCUGGCUGCAUUCUGCAAAGAGAAUUUCUACAAUAGCACAGAGACGAGCGUCUUACCUUGGAACUGGAGCCACAGGAACAGAUUCUCUGCCAGAUUUUUGUGCUCAUUAAUGUACGUGGCAGUAAAUUCAUUCAAGAAAUGAAUCUAAAAUCACGUGGAGAAGUGCUCCACUAACAUCUGUGGAGGGAAAUAUCAUGCCAGCCUAUAAGCCUUUGGUCAGCCUGCUGUAGUGCUCGGAAGACUACUGAACAGUAUUGCGUCUUUUAUUUAGUUACUCCCCUCUCCACUACGUAUCCCCUGUGUGUCUUCAGAACUCUUUCUCCUUAUUUUAGUGACAAAAUGCUAUUGUCAGCAUUGUUCUGUGAUUGCAGAAUGCAUUGUAAGUUUAGGCACGGGUCUUGCAAGCUGCUCUGCCUGGGUGGGCUCCUGAAAUCCACACAGGGCCAACUUGACAUUGGUGGGGGUAGUCUUUGCUAAGGCCCCACCUUUGGAAACCAAAAGCCUGUAUCAUCAUCUCAGUUUUCAUUUCUAUUUUUCUAGCUCCCGUGGUUGCAGUAGGGAAAUUAAGAGUAGCCUAAUGGAUCAUAAAGCUAAGCAUGAACAGGAAAAACGCUUGGGGUUGAUUAUUUUGUUAUCUUAAGGACAUGGGGUCAAUCUGAUGAUUUUUCAGGGGGCUUUGUGUGCUUAGGUUUGGAGAACACUGUAUUCUGCCCUGACGCAUACCAACAGGCCUACUAGCUGUGUUCUACUACCACAGAAACGUUUCACUGUCGUUGUAUGACACAGAAAAGCCCAGCUUGAAUUUCAGGUUAUGACUCGCUGUACUAUUUUGGAAGGGAAAUCACAAUGGAGGGAUAUGUGAGGGCCCCCCGGGAAUGCUUGGUCCCUGCAGAACGGGGCUUUGCUUUGUGUUGGCGGGUCUUGAGGAAGCCCCCGCAGCCAUGGCCCAGAAGAAUGAGCAGCCUGCUUCAAUAUUUCCUUUCAAUUCACUGCGGCUGGGGAGAAACAACUUAGGAAAGGGCUGGAUUACAAUACCAGAGAAAGGUUACAUCUCAUGCCUUUUUGUGUAUUGGCUCAGAGCUGUGCUGCGACAGCAAGUUUUGAGAGGAUAUUUGCCUCCACAUGCACACAGAUUUUCUGUAUAUUAGAUGAUUCCCUCAAAGCUCCCAGUCCCCAAACUUCUACUGUGACCUGUUGAUUUCUGUAUGCACAGAUUAUGUGAGCUCCAAUCCUUAUUCCUUUGUAGUGUUACACUCAUUGCAG
ensembl:lncRNA